GACGAACGCUGGCGGCGUGCUUAACACAUGCAAGUCGAACGGAAAGGCCCUGCUUUUGUGGGGUGCUCGAGUGGCGAACGGGUGAGUAACACGUGAGUAACCUGCCCUUGACUUUGGGAUAACUUCAGGAAACUGGGGCUAAUACCGGAUAGGAGCUCCUGCUGCAUGGUGGGGGUUGGAAAGUUUCGGCGGUUGGGGAUGGACUCGCGGCUUAUCAGCUUGUUGGUGGGGUAGUGGCUUACCAAGGCUUUGACGGGUAGCCGGCCUGAGAGGGUGACCGGCGUCAAUGGUCCUGCGAUACGCCCCAGACGCCUACGGUGGGCAGUGGUGGGGAGUCUUGCACAGUGGGCGGGCGCCUGAUGCAGCGACGCCCCGGUCGUGAUGACGGUCUGUGGGGUGAAAACAGCUUUCGCCUGUGACGAAGCGUUAGUGACGGUAAUGGAUAAAGAAGCACCGGCUAACUACGUG
rnacentral:rRNA from 1 species